UUUUUCUUUUUUUUUUUUUUUUUUUUGUGACUGGCUUCUGAAGUUGGGGCAAAAGCAGGGGCAGUGGUCAGGAUCGGGGUGGGGGUGGGAGGAUAGGGGCAGACAGUUUUAUGGGACUGAGGGCCUUAACCUGUGGAAUCUGAUGCCACUUUGGGGUAGAUGGUAUCAGAAAUGAGUUAAAUUGUAGGAUGCCCAGCUGGUGUUGCAAGAAAAUACUUGGUGUGGGGAAAAAGCUCCACCUAUUUGUUGCCUCAAAGUGAAGUGUGUUGUGUAAAAGUAAAGGAGACACGCAGGGGAGAAAACACAGAACUGGGCUUUUCCCCUACACAAAAGGGGGAAUACUAAGUUUCUCCCUAAACGCUCUCCUACUGUUAAUCCUCCAUUUUCUGUGAAGCAAAUGAGUUGCUCCUAUAGCACUUCACUCAUAACACAGAGCACUUCCCAUGGGAAUGGGAAUUUAUGUAUUUACAUCUUCACUGGACACAAGCUCCUUGAAGUCAAGUGCUGCUUUAAUUUCAUCCCUAGUACUGAGCCUGGCAUAUUUCAGUAACUAAUUAGUUAAUGAAUUCUUCUGAUAAUAGUUAUCGUCUGUGACUGUAUCAAAGAUGGAUCCUUUGAGAGUUGCUCCUAAGGACCACUCUCUAACAAAUCCUAAUGAUAGUUAUCUGAAAGUUCUAUCUUUUACUAAGUACUUUGGUUUUGUAAAAGCUCUCUAUCAGAAGUGAACACCAUGAGGAAGAAUUAAAAAACAAAACAAAACAAUAAAUGGUUAUUGUCAGAAUUAAAUGAGUUACAUUCAAGUGAUUUCCAAGGAAAUUUGAUAUUGUAGCUACAUGAAAAGCAAAGGACAACCUGGGAUAAUACAUAAAUAGAAUUUAUGAAUUUGAAUGAAAGUUUGGCCAAAAUCUCUAAUAUCAUUUAUACAUUUGAAUGAGUAGGAGCUUCAGAGAUAGAAAUACAAAAUAUAAAUUAAAAGUUGUCCUUUAAGAGCAAUCAAUUACCAGUACUGUAUAAAAUGACAGUUAAUAAGCACCUACCAAACAUCUCACUUUAUAAGUUAUUAUGCAAAAAUAAUUUGACACAGAUGUAUGUUGGAGUUUAGAAGAACUUGGAAAUAAUGGGUAACUAAAUAUAGACAUUAAACAAAUACACAGUUAAGAAUAGAAUCAUGGGAUGUAGGAAGAAUAACCACAUUUCUAGGAUGUAGACUAGACCAAAUAAUGUAGGGUGUAGCAAGCAAUUUUGUUUUCCCAAAUCAAUUCUAGAAAGCUCCAUGGAAAAUAUCAGGAGACACACUUAAAAUAAGCAAGUACAAUAAGGCAGGUUAAGAGAGACUAAGUCCUUGGCACAGCUUGGCAGGGGCCCCAGAAGGAAGACUGGGAUGAUUCAACAAAGGAAGGAAACUUGAAAUAAACAAAGAUUGGCUAAGACCCAGAAGACAAUAAGGGUGUGAAGUGUUUUAGCUUCCUGAUAAAGAGCUUUAGGGCUGAGGGUGGCAUUCUCUAGUAUGAAGGAUGGUCAGUGUCUUCUUAGGAUUUAAAAUCUUGGGGAGAAAGAAAACAUCUCUGUCUGGUAAGGUAAGGACUGGCCAGAUGUAACCAGAAUGGAAUUUUUCCACAUCUAAUAAUUUUAUUUUCGCAUCUAAGAAUUUUUAAAUGUAGCAUUCUUCAAUAUGGCGUAUAUUUAGAUUUUCUUACCCAGACCUUUAAAGAUACUGUCAUAGAAUUCCAAAAUGGACGUAUUUGGGGAUGCUAAGAAGAUUAGUGUCAUUAGAGGAAAACAACAGCACUUAUUUUUAUUACUUGUCAUGGCAUUGAUUCAGAUAACAUCUUGUUUUUUCUAAAUGUUUCCUUUUGGUUUUUCAUGUCUCCCUAGCUAGACUGUAGAUUUCUGGAAAGCAGGCCUCCUCCUAGUAUCUAAGUAGCCCUGAAUAUUCUCUCACCUACAUAUCUUUCAUCCAUCCUCUUCUCUCUAGCCCCUAAUACCCUAAUUAUCUCUUACAUAGACCUUUGCAACAGCCUUUUUGCUGGUCUCCAAAAUUUUACGACAUAUCUAGGAAGACACAGAAAACCAAAAGGAAACACUUAGAUAACACAAGAUGGUAUACAAAACAGGUAAUAAAAAUAACUGCUAUCUUUUCCCUCUAAUACUGACAUUUCCUUUAUAGCUUUCUUCCCACCCCAUCACCUAAACUUCUAUAUUCUUGUUAUUACAACUGCUAAACAAUAUAGAUUAUAUAUAUAAACAUAUACAUACAUUACCAUCCCAGGUAGAGGGCUGGAAGGGCCAAUUCGGUAUGUAAAUGACAGGUCAUAACUUUUGUUUUGUUUUUCAAAAGAUUUUACUUAUUUAUUCAUGAGAGACACACACAGAGAGUCAGAGACACAGGCAGAGGGAGAAGCAGGCUCCCUGCAGGGAGCCCAAUGUGGGACUUGAUCCUGGGACCCCAGGAUCACGCCCAGAGCCGAAGGCAGAUGCUCAACCACUGAAUCACCCAAGCGUCCUUAAGUUUUGUUUUUAAGUCAGAAUAGAGCAAAUAGAAGUUAUAGCAAAGAUGGAUUGUUUUCAGACCCCCUGAGUGGCUUGUGGACAACUGCCAGGCUUUAACAUGCCCGGCUUUAACAUGCCCGGCUUUAACAUGCCCAAGAGAGUGUGAUGAAGUCUCAUGGAAAGCAUGAUAUUGCAGAGUAGAAAGAGGAGGAAGCUUUCAGGUAAGUCAGAAAAAGAGUUGGAAAAAAGGAAUGCUUUUUAGGGAAGUAGGGAGAUGUAAGAGAAAAGGGAGAUGAGGAGGGAGGAGGAGACAUGCAGCCCUCACGGCACAGUUCCCUGGCGGAGAGUCAUGGAACUAUGUGGAGCCUCCGAGUGUUCUGGACUUGGUCUAGGGGGAGCAGAGAGAAGAUGCUGAGUGGUCUAAAUUCUAGACCAGAAAGAAGAGGAUAAAAGAAAAUAGGAACAAAAUCCUCUUUUGGGGGAAAAGGAGCAGGAACAAGGGCUUUUAUAUAUUUUGAUGCUAGACAAGCCUGGAGAAUGAUGCACCUAGUCAAGGUUAGGAAAAGCCACCUGCCAGAGACAGAGAUGAUUUACAGCAGGGCUUCUUAAACUUUAAUGUGCAGUUGAAUCACAACUAGGGAUCUGGUUAGAAUACAGAUUAUAAUUCAGCAGGACUGGGGUGGAGCCCAAGAGUUUGCAUUUCUAACAAGCUCCCAGGGGAAGCUAUGCUGUUUUGAGUAGUAAGGAUUUACAUACAGUAUUUAACAUAAGGAUUUAAAGCAUUUUUAUUAAAUACAUACAUACAUACAUAAAUAAAUGCAUUACUGCCUCUCAAUAUAGAUAUCUUCUGUGGGUUUAUCAAAGGCUCUAAGUAGGAAAUUAUCCUCUUUUUUAAACUCAGUUGAUGGCAACGAAGACAUAUCUUAGAUUAAAAGAGGGAAUACAAUGUACAGUUCAAACUAAUAACAUAUUUGAAAGCAUCAUUGUUAGAUGUCUAUAUUAAUAACAAGAUAAAUACCUGUGUUGUUUAAGCAACACAUCUGCACAUGAAAGUACCCAAAAUAACUUUUUGUGAUGGUAGAAGUAUUCUAUAUCUGAACUCCAGAAUAGUAGCCAUUAACCACCCAUGGUAGUUAAGCACUUGAAAUGUAGCUAGUAUGACCACUGAGUGAAUUUUUUAAUAUUGACUUCUUUUUUAAAAAAUAUUUUUUUAUUUACUGAUUCAUGACAGACACAGAGAGAGUCAGAGACAUAGGCAGAGCCUGAUGCAGGACUCGAUCCCAGGACUCCAGGAUCACACCCUGAGCCAAAGGCAGAUGCUCAACCACUGAGCCACUCAUUCAUUUUAAUUUUAUUGAAUUUAAUUGAUUUUAAUUUAAACAGCCACUCAUAGCUAGUGGCUACAAUGACCAUGAGAGCUAAUAGCAUCAACCAAAAGACAACCAGAUGUUUUUGCUUCUGGAACUGAUGGUGUAAGGGAAUUGAUGUACCUGAGCACCAUAAAAGGCAGCUAUAACAGCCAAGGGAUUUACUCCUCAGUUUUUCUAAAGUCCAGUUCUCCUGCCAAGUCAUCACCCACAGUAAUAACGACUUGAAAUAGAAGGCAUAUCCAUCCCACCAAGGACCUCAUCUUUGAGAAGUUAUAUCUAAUAGCAAAACACACACACACACACACACACACACACACACACGAAAACACACAGAGGGAAAAAAAAAGGAAAACACACACAGGUUUUUCAUGGAGAAAAUUUUAGUUUGAGCUCUAGCUACAGCCUCACGAACAUGUGACCUCUGGUAAGUCAUCUAGACUCUCUAAUCGUCAGGUCCUAAUUCUUUCUGUAAAUUGGAAUUGGUGAUAAUACCUAGUAGGCAAAGGUGUUAGGAAGGUAAGUUCCUAAAGGACAUUCCAGAUUUCAUAGUUGUAUACAAUGACUAAGUAUUAUUUACUAAAAGGGAAGUCAAAUGCCAUAUUUAAAACAAAAUCCAAGGAAUCAUCUAGACCGUUUGUUGUACUGAAUUUGUUGCAUGCACAUAGCCUUGGAAAUGUUAUGUAACAGAUAUUUCAAUCCUUUAGAUUUACUGUAAUGGGGUAUAACCUUCAAGGAACAUGCAUGCCAAAUCCGUUUGGAAGAAUGAUGGUAAAGGAGAAGUGCUUUAUUUAGCAGCGUGGAGCCUGGUAAGCAUCCUCCCUGCUAAGAUUAUGCUGAAAAGAAAGGAAAUCGCACACUGCUCAUUUCCCUUGUACUGGUUGUAAUCUUGUGGAAACUUCCUGUAAAAGGCAGUUAUAGCAUUAAAAGUAAACUGAUUUCACACUCACCGGAUACUGCCAGACCAACAAUUGUAGUCCUUUGGGAGAAAAAUAAAAUAGCAUACUUAUCCUUUAUACUUUGUAUUAGUUUGGAGGAACAUGGAAACCCUAGUGAUGGAGAAACAGACCCAUGCCAGAGGCAAGGAAACUAUUUAGAAACAUGGUUACCAUUUAGUAAUUCCACUGAGAGGCAGAGCUCAUUAGCCAAGACACUGGUUACACUAAAAAAAAAAAAAAAAAAAAAAA
rnacentral:lncRNA from 1 species